rnacentral:rRNA from 1 species
GCUUGUCUUCAUUAAUCAAGAACGAAAGUCAGAGGAUCGAAGGUGAUCAGAUACCGCCCUAGUUCUGACCGUAAACGAUGCCAACUAGCGAUUCGCCGAUGGAUAAUUUAUUGCCUUGGCGAGGAGCUUCCCGGAAACGAAAGUCUUCCGGUUCCGGGGGAAGUAUGGUUGCAAAGCUGAAACUUAAAGGAAUUGACGGAAGGGCACCACCAGGAGUGGAGCCUGCGGCUUAAUUUGACUCAACACGGGAAAACUCACCCGGCCCGGACACUAUAAGGAUUGACAGAUUGAUAGCUCUUUCAUGAUUUGGUGGAUGGUGGUGCAUGGCCGUUCUUAGUUCGUGGAGUGAUUUGUCUGGUUUAUUCCGAUAACGAGCGAGACUCUAGCCUACUAAAUAGUUUACUCAUUUGAUUCAUUUUAUUUUUCUCUCUUUCAUUUCCUUCCCCCAAUUAUUUUUCUCUUAAUCGGGGAGAGUAGUUGGGAGGGGGGGAAUUGGGAGUGGGGAUUAAAAUAUUAUGAUUGUGUAGUUGAACUUCCUAGAGGGAUUCUCAGUGUUUAACGAGGUGAAAUGGAGCAAUAACAGGUCUGUGAUGCCCUUAGAUGUCCGGGGCUGCACGCGCGCUACACUGGUAAAGUCAGCGUGUUUUUUCCUUUCUCGAAAGAGAUUGGUAAACCAGUGAAAUUUUACCGUGAUUGGGAUCGGAAAUUGCAAUUAUUUUCUGUGAACGAGGAAUUCCAAGUAAGUGUGAGUCAUCAACUCGCGCUGAUUACGUCCCUGCCCUUUGUACACACCGCCCGUCGCUGCCCGGGACUGAGCCAUUUCGAGAAAUUUGGGGAUUGCUGUCUAACGGUUUUGCAUUCAUGUGUGGA